AGUGAACGCUGGCGGUAGGCCUAACACAUGCAAGUCGAACGGCAGCACAGUAAGAGCUUGCUCUUACGGGUGGCGAGUGGCGGACGGGUGAGGAAUACAUCGGAAUCUACUUUUUCGUGGGGGAUAACGUAGGGAAACUUACGCUAAUACCGCAUACGACCUACGGGUGAAAGCAGGGGAUCUUCGGACCUUGCGCGAUUGAAUGAGCCGAUGUCGGAUUAGCUAGUUGGCGGGGUAAAGGCCCACCAAGGCGACGAUCCGUAGCUGGUCUGAGAGGAUGAUCAGCCACACUGGAACUGAGACACGGUCCAGACUCCUACGGGAGGCAGCAGUAGGGAAUAUUGGGCAAUGGGCGCAAGCCUGAUCCAGCCAUACCGCGUGGGUGAAGAAGGCCUUCGGGUUGUAAAGCCCUUUUGUUGGGAAAGAACAGCAGCAGGUUAAUACCCCGCUGUUCUGACGGUACCCAAAGAAUAAGCACCGGCUAACUUCGUG
rnacentral:rRNA from 1 species